AGCUUUGCACAGUGGCAGUAUCAUAGCCAAUGAAGUUUAUCUGAAGCAUGAUUAUUGCUAAUUGAAAGCUAAAAGAGCUCAUCUCAAUAGAA
rnacentral:snRNA from 1 species